rnacentral:rRNA from 1 species
AUUGAACGCUGGCGGCAGGCUUAACACAUGCAAGUCGAGCGGAGCGAGGGUGCUUGCACCUUAGCUUAGCGGCGGACGGGUGAGUAAUGCUUAGGAAUCUGCCUAUUAGUGGGGGACAACAUUCCGAAAGGAAUGCUAAUACCGCAUACGCCCUACGGGGGAAAGCAGGGGAUCUUCGGACCUCGCGCUAAUAGAUGAGCCUAAGUCGGAUUAGCUAGUUGGUGGGGUAAAGGCCUACCAAGGCGACGAUCUGUAGCGGGUCUGAGAGGAUGAUCCGCCACACUGGGACUGAGACACGGCCCAGACUCCUACGGGAGGCAGCAGUGGGGAAUAUUGGACAAUGGGCGGAAGCCUGAUCCAGCCAUGCCGCGUGUGUGAAGAGGGCCUUUUGGUUGUAAAGCACUUUAAGCGAGGAGGAGGCUACUUAGAUUAAUACUCUAGGAUAGUGGACGUUACUCGCAGAAUAAGCACCGGCUAACUCUGUGCCAGCCGCCGCGGUAA